UAGGGGUAAACCUGAGAAACCCGNAWGGUCGAAGGGAGAAAUUCAUUCGCGUCUCGACGUCCGGCGUCGGACGGCGUUCGUAGGCGACGCGUUGCGUGCGUUGACGGUUCGCCGUCUUCGUUUCGUCUUCGUGCGCCCGCCGUCCUUCGAACCGGCGACGAGCGCGUGCACUUUUCUCCUUGUAGGACGUCGCGAUCCGUUGGGCGUCGGUCUACGAUUUAUGGGGUGGAGUCCGAGCGGAUAUCCUCGUCAAAAGGGAUAUCCGUUCGGACCCCUAAAAUUCCGGCCGACUCGCUCGACGGUAAGAAAACGGUCAGGGGUCGCUUUAACGAGCGUUCGACUCUCGACGAGAACGUCAGAAUUUUCGAUUACCGGACCUGGUGCCGAUGUCGUUAUCUGACGACUGUCCGUCGACGAAGUUCUCGAACGGAUCUCCUUUAAUUUCGACCGAUCUGCGGCGCUAUAGCUUUGGGUACUUUCAGGACCCGUCUUGAAACACGGACCAAGGAGUCUAGCACGUGCGCGAGUCAUUGGGAAUUAAUAAACCUAAAGGCGUAAUGAAAGUGAAGGUUUUCCUCGCGAAGACCGAGGGAAGAGGAGCGGCGACGUGACGUUUUCGGACGGCGGCGUCGCUCCGCAUUCCCGGGGCGUCUCGUUCUCAUCGCGAGAUGAGGCGCACCGAGAGCGUACUUGCUGGGACCCGAAAGAUGGUGAACUAUGCCUGGUCAGGACGAAGUCAGGGGAAACCCUGAUGGAGGUCCGUAGCGAUUCUGACGUGCAAAUCGAUCGUCGGAAC
rnacentral:rRNA from 1 species